ACGCGAAAGCUCCCUUCGGGGAGCAAGUAGAGUGGCGCACGGGUGAGUAACACGUAGGUAAUCUACCUUUGGAUGGGGAAUAACAACCGGAAACGGUUGCCAAUACCGCAUAAUGCAGCGGCACCUAAUGGUGACAGUUGUUAAAGCGGGGGAUCGCAAGACCUCGCGUCUGAAGAGGAGCCUGCGGCAGAUUAGCUAGUUGGUAAGGUAACGGCUUACCAAGGCGAUGAUCUGUAGCCGGCCUGAGAGGGCGGUCGGCCACACUGACACUGACAUACGGGUCAGACUCCUACGGGAGGCAGCAGUCGGGAAUUUUGGGCAAUGGGCGAAAGCCUGACCCAGCAACGCCGCGUGAAGGAUGAAAUCCCUCGGGAUGUAAACUUCGCAAGAACGGGAAGAAUAAGUCGGUGUAAAUACCACCGACGAUGACGGUACUGUUUGUAAGCUCCGGCUAACUCCGUGCCAGCAGCCGCGGUAAUACGGGGGGAGCAAGCGUUG
rnacentral:rRNA from 1 species